GCCCCUGUAGCUCAGUGGAUAGAGCACUUGCCUCCGGAGCAAGAAGUCCCGCGUUCGAGUCGCGGCGGGGGUA
rnacentral:tRNA from 1 species